GACGAACGCUGGCGGCGUGCCUAAUACAUGCAAGUUGAGCGAUGAAGAUUGGUGCUUGCACCCAUUUGAAGAGCAGCGAACGGGUGAGUAACGCGUGGGGAAUCUGCCUUUGAGCGGGGGACAACAUUUGGAAACGAAUGCUAAUACCGCAUAACAACUUUAAACAUAAGUUUUAAGUUUGAAAGAUGCAAUUGCAUCACUCAAAGAUGAUCCCGCGUUGUAUUAGCUAGUUGGUGAGGUAAAGGCUCACCAAGGCGAUGAUACAUAGCCGACCUGAGAGGGUGAUCGGCCACAUUGGGACUGAGACACGGCCCAAACUCCUACGGGAGGCAGCAGUAGGGAAUCUUCGGCAAUUGACGAAAGUCUGACCGAGCAACGCCGCGUGAGUGAAGAAGGGUGUCGGAUCGGAAAACUCGGUUGGUAGAGAAGAACGUUGGUGAGAGUGGAAAGCUCAUCAAGUGACGGUAACUACACAGAAAGGGACGGCUAACUACGUG
rnacentral:rRNA from 1 species